rnacentral:tRNA from 1 species
GCGGGGGUGGCAGAGCAUGGCCAAAUGCGCAGGAUUGAGGUUCCUGUGUCUUUAGUGACUGCGUGAGUUCAAAUCUCACCCCCCGCA